rnacentral:rRNA from 1 species
UACGAAGGGGGCAAGCGUUGUUCGGAAUGACUGGGCGUAAAGGGCGCGUAGGCGGCUCUGUUUGUCUGAUGUGAAAGCCCCGGGCUUAACCUGGGAAUAGCAUUGGAAACGGCAGAGCUAGAGGGAGAAAGAGGAAAGUGGAAUUGCGAGUGUAGAGGUGAAAUUCGUAGAGAUUCGCAAGAACACCGAUGGCGAAGGCAGCUUUCUGGUUCUCAUCUGACGCUGAGGCGCGAAAGCGUGGGGAGCAAACAGG